UACGAAGGGGGCUAGCGUUGCUCGGAAUCACUGGGCGUAAAGGGCGCGUAGGCGGAUUGUACAGUCAGGCGUGAAAUUCCCGGGCUCAACCUGGGGGCUGCGCUUGAGACGUGCGAUCUUGAGUGGGGAAGAGGGUCGUGGAAUUCCCAGUGUAGAGGUGAAAUUCGUAGAUAUUGGGAAGAACACCGGUGGCGAAGGCGGCGACCUGGUCCUUGACUGACGCUGAGGCGCGAAAGCGUGGGGAGCGAACAGG
rnacentral:rRNA from 1 species